UGGGGAAUCUUGGACAAUGGGCGCAAGCCUGAUCCAGCCAUGCCGCGUGAGCGAUGAAGGCCUUAGGGUUGUAAAGCUCUUUCACCGGUGAAGAUAAUGACGGUAGCCGGAGAAGAAGCCCCGGCUAACUUCGUGCCAGCAGCCGCGGUAAUACGAAGGGGGCAAGCGUUGUUCGGAAUUACUGGGCGUAAAGGGCGUGUAGGCGGUCUAAUCAGUCAGAGGUGAAAGCCCUGGGCUCAACCCAGGAAUGCCUUUGAUACUGUUAGACUAGAGUUCGGGUAGAGGGUAGGUGGAAUUCCCAGUGUAGAGGUGAAAUUCGUAGAUAUUUGGAGGAACACCAGUGGCGAAGGCGGCUCACUGGCUCGAUACUGACGCUGAGGUGCGAAAGUGU
rnacentral:rRNA from 1 species